UGCCUAAGUGAUUCUGAAACAAGAGGUACAAGGAACGACUCAAGAAAAAGCUGCCCAAGAAACUGCAGGCAGAAACUGAGAGUCAAGGUCUUCAUCCACAGUCAUCAGAAGGGGCAACCUUGACAAUACCUUGACUUUGAACAUCUGACCCCCACAAGUAUAAGACUACACUUCCCCAUUGUUUAAGCCACCCACAGCAGACAUAGAAAACUCCAAGAAGUAAAACUUUACUUAUUUAAUGCAGAGGAUACUGGGCCAAGACACACCAACCAGGACAUUGAAGACUGAUUGACAAUUGAUGACUGAAUCCAAGAAACUGAACGAAAUAUUUACUUCUAAGCAACAGAGGAUAAGGUGGUACCUGCUUGGAAUUUUUGGUUAUGAUUGUGAAACUUGAUUUACUUUGACCCUGAUGUUAGAAACCACUGACACAGAACUCAAAGAAACGCAACAAACAAAUUCAUAACCAGGCCAGAUCAAGCUCAGCACAGGCAUCAUUUGUUGUCACCCUGAACAAGGCCACCAUGUUGACAGUGUGCUACAGGACUUAGGACCUCACAUUCACCUCUCGUCAGGUGGGGCCAACUCAUGCCAACUCUAGGGGGUCUGUGGAUGGUGUGGGCUGAUAUCUGAGAAAAGAACUUGAGGAGCCCAAGAGUCAGCCAAGUCAAGCCACACUGUCAGUAGAGACAAAACCAUCUCCUCUCACUGCUGAAGCAUGGCUGCAUGAUACCCAGGAGGAGGUAUGGCCUUGGGUAUUAUUUAUGAAUCACCAUGUACACAGCUGUGUCAUCAGUAGCCUCUAGGAUUGGAAGAGCAAACUGAACUUUGAGGGGAACGAUGUGAUCUCUUUUGGCCUCUAACUAAUUGAAGCCAACUAAUUGAAGAACUAAGGAAGCCCCUAUUCUCUCACUUAUCACUUUUCUUUCAGGUAAAAUAUUGGGGCAUAUCUGCCUUGCAGCUUUAUUACAGACUUUAUUUCAUUAACAAAUUUUUCCUCCUACAGAAAAGAGGUAUCUUCAGCUUUAAAAGCAUAUUAUGAAUCUUAAAAACUGGCAGGCACUCUGAACCUCUCUCCCAUCUCCAUCUUUCUUCCCUUUCUGCAUCAUGGUUCUAUAACUUACCAGCUGCAUGACCUUGACCUUCCUAUCGCUAAGCCUCAAUUUUGUUAUCGCUACAAUGAUAGUAUAUACCACUUCAGAGGACUGUGGAGAAGAUUCAAUGAGUUCAUGUCCUGUGUUUAAAAUACAGCCUGUUAUGCAGUAAGCACUGUGUCCUGUCUUUUGGAACCUGAACUUCCUCAAGGCCAAGAUCAGGGAGUUGCCAUUGUGUUUCCUAUUACUCAUUUAGCAGUGUCUACUCCCUCACCCUGCAUGGCUGUAAAAAUUGUUCUAUGGGUAUUACUGAGAAUCUGAGCAAAGAACCCAUGUUCUCUGAGUUCUGAACCAGUUCAGGUUGAUAUCUGUCAUCUGUUGCUCCAGCCCAGUGGAUUUGUGCUUGAGCCACCUGCCAAUGUAUUGUAGUUUCCUUGUACUUCAUUGCUGUAACCAACGUUCCUCCUGUCUCUGGGUAUACAUUGGAACAUAGAAGCCACUUAGUACUCAUUAGCUGGUAUGGCCUGUUGCUAGAGGUGUAGUAUCACUGAAUGUCUGAUGAACAAUGAUUGAGAAAAUACCUGAUAAUUUUUAGCUGCAAAUAACUGAAUACACCUUAGCUGUAUUCAACCUAAAAAAAAAAAAAAGUGCUACCUUAUAAUAGGGAACUCCAAGAAUCUUAGAAGGGUUAGAGAAUGCAAGUCAAAGGUAACACCUCAAUUAUAUUCUGGGACAUUCAAGAAAGACCCUAGAGCCACACACAUAUCAUUGUACAUGUACUGCACCAAAUGCUACAUUUCAGAGUUUUUCCAGGGUCCUUCUGCAUGCCAGUUAUAUCACUGCUACCUGCCAUUUUUAUUAUUUCUUACCAUACUGCCUUCUUCAUAUCACUUCUCUCCAGAUUGAAGUCACAUGUAACAUCUGUAGAGCCUAAUUCCCAUAUCUGUGGACUGGUGGCAAAGAGGACUGGGAAUAAGACUUUCUGCUUCUACUAUAUGAAGGUGAAACCAUAAAGAGAGGAACUGGGGUACAAAGUUUUGAACAAUAAAAAAAUCAAAGCAAAUAUCCAUAUAGAUAGAUGAUCUCAAGGACAGCCUUCUAGGGUCCCUUGCACACCAGUAAUGUAAGCAUGAGCAGAAAGGCACUGGGAGACCUCGAAGCCUCCAGGUAGCCACAGAAGUCCAGAAAAACCUGCUAGAUACACUGGUCAGAACAAGGAUGGUGUAAAGCAUACACACCUUAAAAGCCAGAGUCCACGGUAGGACGUGAGGACCCUUCAGGCAUGACCAACACCCACAGACCAUGGGCUUGAGUUGCCUCAGUAGAGGUUGGAUUGUGGCAGAGAAUGGUACUCAGACUAGAUUCCCUUCCCCAGUUGCCAAGUGUCAAUAGAAGUCUCUGAGAACUGGAUCACCCUGGGGGAAAGAUAAAAGCAGAAAGGGAAGGGGGAAACUCUGAGUGUGAUGCUGCAUAGAGCCUGGUCCUAUAUCAUAAGUCACAGUAUUUAUUACCUUCAGUUGGAAAGUGUGGGAAUAAACAAA